UGAGAGGUGAAAUGGAUUUCGCCUGAGGAUGGGCCCGCGUCUGAUUAGCUAGUUGGUGGGGUAAAGGCCUACCAAGGCGACGAUCAGUAGCUGGUCUGAGAGGAUGAUCAGCCACACUGGGACUGAGACACGGCCCAGACUCCUACGGGAGGCAGCAGUGGGGAAUUUUCCGCAAUGGGCGAAAGCCUGACGGAGCAACGCCGCGUGAGGGAUGAAGGCCUCUGGGCUGUAAACCUCUUUUCUCAAGGAAGAAGACCUGACGGUACUUGAGGAAUAAGCCACGGCUAAUUCCGUGCCAGCAGCCGCGGUAAUACGGGAGUGGCAAGCGUUAUCCGGAAUUAUUGGGCGUAAAGCGUCCGCAGGUGGCCCUGUAAGUCUGUCGUUAAAGCGUGGAGCUUAACUCCAUUUAAGCGAUGGAAACUACAGGGCUAGAGUGUGGUAGGGGCAGAGGGAAUUCCCGGUGUAGCGGUGAAAUGCGUAGAUAUCGGGAAGAACACCAGUGGCGAAGGCGCUCUGCUGGGCCAUCACCGACACUCAUGGACGAAAGCCAGGGGAGCGAAAGGGAUUAGAUACCCCUGUAGUCCUGGCCGUAAACGAUGAACACUAGGUGUCGGGGGAAUCGACCCCCUCGGUGUCGUAGCCAACGCGUUAAGUGUUCCGCCUGGGGAGUACGCACGCAAGUGUGAAACUCAAAGGAAUUGACGGGGGCCCGCACAAGCGGUGGAGUAUGUGGUUUAAUUCGAUGCAACGCGAAGAACCUUACCAGGGUUUGACAUCCUGCGAAUCCCUUGGAAACGAGGGAGUGCCUUCGGGAGCGCAGAGACAGGUGGUGCAUGGCUGUCGUCAGCUCGUGUCGUGAGAUGUUGGGUUAAGUCCCGCAACGAGCGCAACCCACGUCGUUAGUUGCCAGCAUUCAGUUGGGCACUCUAGCGAGACCGCCGGUGAUAAACCGGAGGAAGGUGUGGAUGACGUCAAGUCAUCAUGCCCCUUACAUCCUGGGCUACACACGUACUACAAUGCUACGGACAAAGGGCAGCAAACUCGCGAGAGCUAGCAAAUCCCAUAAACCGUGGCUCAGUUCAGAUCGUAGGCUGCAACUCGCCUACGUGAAGGAGGAAUCGCUAGUAAUCGCAGGUCAGCAUACUGCGGUGAAUACGUUCCCGGGCCUUGUACACACCGCCCGUCACACCAUGGAAGUUGGCCACGCCCGAAGUCGUUACUCCAACCCUUGUGGAGGAGGACGCCGAAGGUGGGGCUGAUGACU
rnacentral:rRNA from 1 species